rnacentral:lncRNA from 1 species
UGGAGCCCAGGGCAGGGUUCACAGAGCUAUUUUCAGUUCUCUUGCAGGAUCUCCUUCCCAGCCUUCAGAAAUUGCCGGUCUGGGAGUUGGGGGCAAGGAGAAGAUCCUGCCCAGCAUCUGCAGCCCAUGAGAACUUCCUGCCACUGAUUGACAUGGUUGAAGUGCAUGAAUUAGACCUUUACGAGAAGCACAGUUUUGUCUUCAGUUUCCUCUCCCCCCACCCGGAAUGGCCUGAGCCGAAGCCAGCUCCCUCCGAGAAGUCAUUACCGCCUGACUUGCGUUUGAUAUUUAGACACCUUGGUCACAACAUCUUGCAUUCUCUCGGGAUGCUGAUUUCUAACUGCUCUUUGGCCUUUCCUGCAUUGGUCCUCCUCAGGCAGGGGAUCCCUGCUCUUCUAUAUUAGUGAGAAAACCAAGGCUCAGAGAAACUGUGGAUUUUCUAAGGAUGCUGGCUCCCCGUCCCCUGUCCACCAUGAGUCAAAGCAAUGUGAGUCCCUCACCAGAUGCAACUGCCCAGUCUUGGACUUUCCAGUGACCAGAAUCAUGAGCCAAAUAAACCUCUUUUCUUUAUGAA